rnacentral:rRNA from 1 species
UACGUAGGGGGCAAGCGUUGUCCGGAAUCAUUGGGCGUAAAGAGCGUGUAGGCGGUCCGGUAAGUCGGCUGUGAAAAUCCAGGGCUCAACCCUGGACCUGCAUUCGAUACGGGCAGACUAGAGUUCGGUAGGGGAGACUGGAAUUCCUGGUGUAGCGGUGAAAUGCGCAGAUAUCAGGAGGAACACCGGUGGCGAAGGCGGGUCUCUGGGCCGAAACUGACGCUGAGGAGCGAAAGCGUGGGGAGCAAACAGG